rnacentral:rRNA from 1 species
GAUGAACGCUGGCGGCGUGCCUAAUACAUGCAAGUCGAGCGAACAGAUGAGGAGCUUGCUCCUCUGACGUUAGCGGCGGACGGGUGAGUAACACGUGGAUAACCUACCUAUAAGACUGGGAUAACUUCGGGAAACCGGAGCUAAUACCGGAUAACAUGUUGAACCGCAUGGUUCAACAGUGAAAGACGGUCUUGCUGUCACUUAUAGAUGGAUCCGCGCCGCAUUAGCUAGUUGGUAAGGUAACGGCUUACCAAGGCAACGAUGCGUAGCCGACCUGAGAGGGUGAUCGGCCACACUGGAACUGAGACACGGUCCAGACUCCUACGGGAGGCAGCAGUAGGGAAUCUUCCGCAAUGGGCGAAAGCCUGACGGAGCAACGCCGCGUGAGUGAAGAAGGUCUUCGGAUCGUAAAACUCUGUUAUUAGGGAAGAACAAAUGUGUAAGUAACUAUGCACGUCUUGACGGUACCUAAUCAGAAAGCCACGGCUAACUACGUG